rnacentral:rRNA from 1 species
CAGCAGUGAGGAAGGCAGGUACGUUAAUAGCGUACUUGUUUGACGUUAGCUGCAGAAGAAGCACCGGCUAACUCCGUGCCAGCAGCCGCGGUAAUACGGAGGGUGCGAGCGUUAAUCGGAAUUACUGGGCGUAAAGCGCAUGCAGGUGGUUGUUAAGUCAGAUGUGAAAGACCCGGGGCGUCAACCUCGGAAUUGCAUUUGAAACUGGCAGACUAGAGUACUGUAGAGGGGGUAGAAUUUCAGGUGUAGCGGUGAAAUGCGUAGAGAUCUGAAGGAAUACCGGUGGCGAAGGCGGCCCCCUCGGACAGAUACUGACACUCAGAUGCGAAAGCGUGGGGAGCAAACAGGAUUAGAUACCCUGGUAG